rnacentral:tRNA from 1 species
ACCGUAGCUCAGUUGGUAGAGCAGAGGACUGAAAAUCCUCGUGUCACUGGUUCGAUUCCCGUCGGU